UGACAGAUUAUGUGUCAAAAUUUUAUUGGCCAAUAACAAUAUUGCAAAAAUAUCCUUUUUUUUUGUCUUAGCAUGGAAUUAUAAAUUGUUAAUAAGGGUAUUUUGGUCUAAAUUCUUUCAAAUUAGACAUUUUUGCAAUGGUGGAAUGACUAGGUAAAAAUGGACAUUUUAUGAAAUUUCCUCUAUUAUUGUUGUAAUUUUGUCCUAAUUACUGACAUGUAUUAAUUAUAAUCAGAAUCAUCGACAAUAUUAAAACAAUAAUCGUCGACGAAAUUUUCUAUCGCUAAUCACCUUACCUUUAUUAUUAUUUUUUUUGAGUGGCAACUGUUACGCCCCGCCACAUAGACUCCAUGACCGACCUCUUGAAGCCCUCGCAAUGAAUCCACGUGGAUCAAGCCCCCGAAGCCACACUCACUGAGGCGGUGGAUUCCUCGAACCGCCAAAGAUAAACCAUCAUAGGCUAGUGAGUUUAAAUGAACGUCUAGGAUUGGAUGCUUUGGUUAAAGAGAUGAGGUCACGUGUAUCUUCAUCCAAUAGACAUCAUUCCAUAUGUAAAAUUUUAAAUACCCCCUCUUUAUAUCAUUGGAAAGAUAAUCCAACUCAAUACACUUAAAGCUACUAAUAUGUCUUAUCUUUUGCAGAUUAUAAAUUUGUUUUGCUGGAG
rnacentral:lncRNA from 1 species